AGUGAACGCUGGCGGUAGGCCUAACACAUGCAAGUCGAACGGCAGCACAGUAAGCGCUUGCUCUUACGGUUGGCGAGUGGCGGACGGGUGAGGAGUACAUCGGAAUCUACUUUUUCGUGGGGGAUAACGUAGGGAAACUUACGCUAAUACCGCAUACGACCUACGGGUGAAAGCAGUGGAUCUUCGGACCUUGCGCGAUUGAAUGAGCCGAUGCCGGAUUAGCUAGUUGGCGUGGUAAAGGCCCACCAAGGCGACGAUCCGUAGCUGGUCUGAGAGGAUGAUCAGCCACACUGGAACUGAGACACGGUCCAGACUCCUACGGGAGGCAGCAGUGGGGAAUAUUGGACAAUGGGCGCAAGCCUGAUCCAGCCAUGCCGCGUGGGUGAAGAAGGCCUUCGGGUUGUAAAGCCCUUUUGUUGGGAAAGAACAGCAGUAGGUUAAUACCCCGCUGUCCUGACGGUACCCAAAGAAUAAGCACCGGCUAACUUCGUG
rnacentral:rRNA from 1 species